UGCUCUACGUUUAUGCAGCCUCUGCGGCAGCGCCUCAAUGCAGCCACUGCGGACCCGCCCACUCGCAGCGGAUCUGCCACGCCCCCCUCAGUUUCCAUGACGACCUGACCCUGCACCUUCCCUAAGCCGCCAAGAUUUCCAGGACUUGGGGCCAGGCUGGCUUCAGCAUCCUUGGCGUCGAUGAGAGAGUUGCUCCUGCCCUGGCAACCACAGCUAGAUCUGGAAUUGGGGAUUUUCGUUCAGGGCAGGUUAAGAGGUAACUUUAUUAUUAAUAUCUGUUUAAAUAUUUUGCUUAUUAGUUUGAGUACUUGUUGAGAUUUAAUGGUUUUGUUUCUGACAUGUCCUAUUGGUACCUUUUUUUCUAUUAUUUUACCUUCAGCUUCAAUUGUUUUGGAUAGAGAGAUUGAUCCCUGGCUAAGAGAAGACGAAAGGUCUACCCGUCCAGCAAUUUACCUUUGCUCUGUGAUCUAUCUUCCUAUGGGGGACAAGGGCACUCAGGUAUGUAGCAUAUGUCAUUAGCCACAAUAAGGAGGUCCCCAGUUGUGGACAACCAGAGACAUGAAAAAUUGUGCUCUAUUUGUGUAAUAUGAAUUGAAUUGCAUUCUGCUGUCACAUAUAACAAAUAGAAUGAAUUUUAAAAAUAUAAGAAAAGAACAGUUAAAAAAAAAGGAAAUGUGAGUCAAGUGAGAAAAAAAUAUUUUAUCUGCUUGACAUUUGCUAAAAGGAAUCUAACAUUUUCCUCCUGAAUGAUAAAUGACUCAGAUACUUCUAAAUACUUAUAUUUCUAGAUUUUUAUAUUCUGACUGCUCUGCUGAUGACAAUGUAACUGAUUAAUUGAAACCAAGGUAUUAAUGUGUUUUUUUAAGUGCUUACACUAAUUCUGAUAGUUUUUAAAUUAAAUACGCUUAGUGAAGAUGUUUUAAUGAAAUUACUCUUAAAUUGGAAUUUUAUAAGUUGAAUCGCAGAUUUCCUUUGCUUUAGAGUGAUAUUUGGUUGUUAAAUAACUGUGAUGGUAUAUGGGAAAAUGCAGUUUUAAUGAUCUAGUCAAAGGGAAAUUUAUUUCUGUAAACAAAUUGCAUUUGAGGUGGAAUCAGUGACAGGGGAUUAGUUUGAGUUCACCUGCUGGUUGUCAAAGAUUCUGGCUUUUGUAAAUUUUCAUGGCAAAAUUUGAAGCUAAUAACUAACUCCCUGCGUUAGUUAGACAGGCUGCGUGGCUGGAGGCAGCAGACAUGGUGUCUUAGACACAAUGCAGCUGUGUUUGAGAUGCCAAGCACCUUGUUGUAUCUAGUGAGCAGGACUCCUGUGCUUGCAUCCUGCUGAUGAGGCCAAAUAUUUUGAGCAAUUGCAUGGUUACUGGGCAGUCAAGGGGAAUGUGCUGUCAUCUCUGAGCAACACGGCAGUGUCCUUCAUCAGAGAUGGAAUUCUGACUUUGGGGAGAUUUUGAAUGGUGGAAAUGAGAAAGAAGGAACUUGUGUUUUCUGUUUCCAAAUGGAGAUAAAGAUAGAGAAGUCAGUUUGCAUAAUACUACCAAAAUUGUCUUUCUUUCUUUCCCUUCCUCCCUUCCUUCCUUCCUUCCUUCCUUCCUUCCUUCCUUCCUUCCUUCCUUCCUUUCUUUUUAAAACAAAAUAGAUAAGAAAGUAGUUUUUUAAAUACUUUAAACAUUUUUAUUAUAUCACCAUUUAAUUUUUUCUCCUGACUUUUUCCUCAAAGAAGCAGAGGUAUGUAUAAAAUAUAUAAAUAUGAUAAAUUUUCUUCUGUAAGAUAAUACCAGGGAAAAAGGAAUAGAAGAGUCAGACAGAAAAAGUCCAAAAAGAAAGAAAUAUGGAGAAAUGUCUGUCCUCUUUAUCCUUUAAUAAUUACAGAGUUGCUGCACAAUUGACUGAAUAUUCUUGGGUCUGGGCAGAGGUGAACAUGAUGAACCACAAAAUUCUCAUUAUCUGGAAAAGAAAACCUAACUGUCUGCUCAGAGAAAAAAGAUUUUCCAUAGGAGCAAGUUAUAUGUCUGAAAGAAACUUCUGCAAUGGUAUCCUUUAGGUAGCGCUGUUCGUCUGUAUUUUUUUAACGCAGUUUAUGAUUUGUGAUCUAUAAAUAUAUCUUACUUGUGAUGAAAAAGUCCAUCAGCCACUGUUGCGACAUUGUCUCUGACCACAGAUAUUAACCAGUUUGUUAAGUGCUCAGUGUUUCAUUUGGUGCUAAAAGGAUACAAGAUCUCACUCUGGAGUAAGAACUAGUUGGGCAAACAAACACGGCAAGAGAAAGGACCUACAUUACAGUUUUGCUGGUAUAAGUAGCACUCGUAAGCACAGAGAAGGGAGCAAUGGAUUUAGCUAGAAAGUGUGAAAAGCAGGACAGCUGAGAUGACAUAAAGCAACACUUAAGUUUCACAGCUGAAAAGGAAAGAAAACACUUUCCACAGAGAGGGAACAAAUGAGCAAAAAGCACGUAGGCGAAAUUAAUUCAUUGGCAGCCCCAGACAAGGAUAGUUUGUCCAUAGCUUGGGAGUGACAAUAAGGGGACCUGGGUUUAAUUGAGUUUUAGAGAACAAUUAGGUGGCUGUUCACUUAAAUUUUCUGAUCUCUGAUUUCUCACACUGCCUAGUGCUCCAGCCCAGGUCCUGGGAAGUUAAGCAGGAUUGUGGUGGGUAACACUGGCCUAGCAUCAGCAGUCAUAUUCUGCUGGGUCCUGGCUGGAUUAUGAAGUACAGGAAGUUGUCAGAUAUAUUCUUCUGCCCAUUCUGAAACCUCUUUUGCCAUCUACAAAUAUCCUUAGGAAUAUCUGUCCUGUCAUUAAACAAUUUUCUGUUACUUCUUCCAGUGGUGCUGAACUUAAAGGUUUUCUGUAAUUAUGCAAUGAAAGAUUUAGAAUACCAAUCUGCAUGCAUUUAGUUCAUGUUUGUAAGGGGAGCCCUGCCUUCAUCCAGGAAAUAUGUCCCAUAGGCUACUGCAUACUCAGGUCUCAUCAAACCCAGCCUUCCAUUUCCCCUAUUUUGACCAUCUCCAUCCCUACCUUCCCUCUCCCCAAAGAUAAAACUCCCCCUGCCUCCAGUUUGGUUCAAGGCUGCUUCUGUUUGUGAAUACAGCCCACUGUUCUUACACUGAUUUGUGCUGAUGUCACUAAUAUUGCUGUCAGCCUCUUUCAUGUUGCCAGCUGAUUUGGUUAUAUUUGAAUAGUGAUGCAAAUGAAAAAGCAAGUUAGAAUCAUAAGGAAAUUUUUAUAGAUUAUCUUUUCAAUAUUGUUUGCAAAUUUUAUUGACUACGAUCCACAGAAAACUUUUUUACAUUAUGACUGAACAACAAUUUAUUGAAAAUAAUACUGAAGAGCCAGAUAUGGCAUAUGCUUGUAAUAUGAGCUACACGGGAGGCUAAGGUAGGAAUAUCACAAGUUUGAGGCCAGUCUCAGCAACUUAGUGAGACCCUGUUUCAAAAUAAAAGGGGCUGAAGGUAUAUAGUUCUUGCUUUGUAUGCAUGAGCCAUUGGCUUUAAUCCCCACUACUACAGAAAACAAAAAAUCCCCAGACUUAAUUUUAUUACAUAUGAUAGACUAUUCUGCUCUAUUCUUGAUUUCAUCCCACUCCAUUCCUUUCCAUUUUAUUCAGUUUCACCUGAUUAAAAAAAAAAAAAAGUGUGUUGAUUGCUGGGUGGCGCACUUCAGUAAUCCUAGAUGCGCCAGAGGCUGAGGCAGGAGGAUGGCGAGUUCAAAGCCAGCCUCAGCAAUGAAGAGGCACUAAGCAACUUAGUGAGACUGUGUCUCUAAAUAAAAUACAAAAUAGGGCUGGGGAUGUGGCUUAGUGAUUAAGUGCCCCUGAGUUCAAUCCCUGGUACAAAAAAAAAAAAGAAAAGAAAAGAAAAAAAGAAAGUGUGAUGAGCAAUUUCAAUACUUGGCAUCUAUUUAACAAAAUCACAUACAUUAAAAUAUCAAAAGAAUUUCCAUAGCAACAUUAUGUGUCAUUGUCAAACUGGAAAUAAUCUAAGUGUUCACCAAGAGUAGAAUGGAUAAAUAAAUAAAACUGAAUAAAUGAAGUAUUAGUAUGAGGAAGAACAUCAUAGAUGAAUCUUGUAAACAUGAUGUUGACAAGAGAUGUCAGACAUAUUGAAUGACUCAAUUUUUAUAGAGAAAAAAAUCUAUGAGAAAGAAUUGAGGGAAGUGGUUGCUCUUGGGGAGGGCAAGCAGCAGUGAGCACAGGGAACAAAGGUGCUGGUUCUGCUUCUUGAUCUGGGUGUCAACAUUCAUCAGGCUUUUUAUUUUGAUGGGUUUUUCCAAAUGUAUAUUUCCAAAAAAGAGAAAUGCUUGCUAAAAGGAAAAAAACAAUAGGUAACUGCAAAUUCUUAAGCUGAUUACUAAUCAGUCAUCACCACCGAUCUGAAAACACUGGUCUGGUUCAAUCCUCUCACAUCACAGAUGAAGUGAGACCCAGAAAGAUCCAGAGAUGUGGCCAAGGAUGGGCCUUAAUCUGGAUCCCACACUACUUCAGUUUAGUACUCUAUUAUACUGCAAUUUCUUUUUUUUUAUUUUGAAGAAAACAGUCUCUAAACUCAUUUCUUUUACUCCUUUUAAAAAUUUUAUUAUUUUAAAAUUUUGGGGUGCAUUGGGAUACAUUUAUACAUGUAUAUGAAAUAAUUUGGUCACUCCAGCACCUCUCCUUGCCCUCUCCUCCUCCCUUUUCCUAUUCCCUUCCUCUACCCUAUUAGUCUCCCUUCUAUUUUCACAAGAUUACUGUUUUUCUUUCUUCUAUCUUCUGCAUAUGAUGGAAAAUAUAUGACCCUUGACUUUCCAAGUUCAGCUAAUUUUGCUUAAUAAGAUGCUCUUUGUUUCUAUUCACUUUUCCUACAAGUGAUGUAAUUUCAUUGUUUUUGUAUGGGAUGAAUAAAAACUCAUUUUGUAUAUAUACUACAUUUCUUUAUCAAUUCAUCUAUUGAUGAACAUCUAGGCUGGUUCUGUAAUAUUUGCUAUUGUGGAUUAUGCCGCUAUAAACAUGGGUAUGUGCAUAUCACUAUAUUAUGCUGACAUUGCUGUGCCAUGGGGUGGUUCCAUUCCUAAUUUUUUGGGGAACUUCCAUACUGAUUGCCCUAGUGGCUGUACUAGUCUGCAGUCCCACCAGUAAUGUACAAGUGUACCUUUUCCUCACAUACUCAUCAGCAUUUAUUUUUUGUAUUCUUGAUGAUUACUAUUCUAACUCAAGUGAGAUGAACUCUCAGUGUAGUUUUAAUUUGCAUUUUCCUUUGUUUUUGAAUAAAAGAAGUAUUAUUUUAUUGCUGCUUAAAAAUUAUUCAUUUAUAUAUAUGCCUAUAAUUACAGUCACUUAUACAUAUGAAUGUUAUUUAUAAGAAUGUUGACAUUCUAUACUGUCACUCAAGAUAUACUACCAACAUGCACUAUUUUUUAAUUGAUGGUUUAAAAAUAAAUGACAUUGGAAUACAUUUCAAUUCUUAUUACACAUAUACAGCACAAUUUUUCAUAUCUCUGGGUGUAUAUAAAGUAUGUUGACACUAAUUCAUGUCUUCAUACAUGUACUUUGGAUAAUGAUGUCCAUUGCAUUCCACCAUCCUUGCUAAUCCUCUGCCCCCUCCCUUCUCCUCCCACUCCUCUGCACUAUCUAGAGUUCAUCUAUCCCUCCUAUGAAUCUAUCCCUACCCCACUAUGAAUCAGCCUCCUUGUAUCAGAGAAAACAUUCAGCAUUUUUUUUGGGGGGGGGAUUGGCUGAUUUUACUUAGCAUUAUCUUUUCCAACGCCAUCCAUUUACCUGCAAAUGCUAUGAUUUUAUUCUCUUUUAUUGCUGAGUGAUAUUCCAUUGUGUAUAUAUGUCACUUUUUUAUCCAUUCAUCUACUGAAGGGCAUCUAGGUUGGUUCCACAGAUUAGCUAUUGUGAAUUGUGCUGCUAUAAACAUUGAUGUGGCUAUAUCCCUGUAGUAUGCUGUUUUUAAGUCCUUUGGGUAUAGACCGAGGAGAGGGAUAGUGGUCAAAUGGUGGUUCCAUUCCCAGAUUUCCAAGGAAUCUCCAUACUGCUUUCCUUAUUGGCUGCACCAAUUUGUAGUCCCACCAGCAAUGUAUGAGUGUAUCUUUUCCCCACAUCCUCUCCAACACUUAUUGUUGUUUGUCUUCAUAAUAGCUGCCAUUGUAACUGGAGUGAGAUGAAAUCUUAGAAUGGUUUUGAUUUGCAUUACUCUAAUUGCUAGAGAUGAUGAACAUUUUUUCAUAUAUUUGUUGAUUGAUUGUAUAUUCUCUUCUGAGAAGUGUCUGUUCAGGUCCUUGGUCCAUUUAUUGAUUGGAUUGAUUGCUAAAUAUGUUAAAUAUUUUUUUCAUAUAUCUGUUGGUCAUUUGCACUUCUUUUAAGAAAUGUCUGUUUAGUUCAUCUGUCCAUUUAUUGACUGAGUUAUUUGCAGUUUUAUUGUUAAGUUUUUGAGUUAUUUAUAUAUCCUGGAUAUUAAUCCUCUACCUAGAAGAGUAGUUGGCAAAGAUUUUCUUCUUUUCUAUAUGAACUCUCUUCACAUUGCUGUUUCCUUUGCUAUGCAAUUUCACUUAGUCUUUUGCUUUGUUUCAUUAAUAAUUAAACUAAUAUAUUAAGAUUUCUGAUAUUUUGUAUUAUAUUAUUUAUUUUGUUCUUUAAGGAUUUUCUUUAUUUCUAUAGAUGAAUUGCUUUUCUGAUGAAUUAAGCAAUAAUUUAAGAUACAGCAAUUAAAGUGUAUGUUCAUAUCUUCAGUUUUUUUUCCUCCACAUUUCAGACUGUCUUUAAAAUCAUCUAGGUUAUUUGUGUGAAGAACUAUCUUAUGAUACUUUCCUGUAGAAUCUCAGCUUGGAUUCUAGAACAAUGGUGUCUACUAGAACAUCCUAUAAUGGUAGAAAUACUAAUCUAUAUCUAUGAAAUGCAACUAAGUAACUGAACUUUUAAUUAAGUUUCAACAGUGCUAUGGUGUGGAUAAAUAUCCCCUAAUGGCCCAUUUGUUAAAGGCUUAGUUGCCUGCCUGUGGUGCUAUUGGAAGGUGGUGGAAUCUUUAGGCAGUGGUAGGACCUAGUGGAGGAAAUAAUGUCAAUGGAGGUGUUUCCUUAAAGGGAUAUUGGGACCUCAUCUCCACCCACCCUCUCUGUUUGCUUCCUGGCUGCCAGAAGUUAAACAGUUCCUCUCCCAUGUGUUCCUACCAUGAUGUACUUCCUCAUUGUGGGACAGACACCAGGGCCAAGUGGCCAUGGACUAAAUUCUCUGAAACUUUGAGCCAAAAUAAACCUUUCUUCCUUAUUAGUUGUUCAAGAUAUUUUGUUACACUAAGGGAAAACUGACUAACGUGGCCAUGUCUACUGUAUUAGGCAACUCAGCUAUAAAGACAUGACAAAAGCCAGCAUGUGAGUUUUUCCUUGAAUUUAAACCAGAAGUUUAAAUUCUAGUCAAUAAUAAUUGUUUGUCUUUAGAUUUUAACUGACUUUUGCAAUGUCAUAGUGACAAAAUAGUUGACAGGAAUAUUAGUUUGUUUUGCCUUUAGUCAUGAAGUGAGAAGGUACUUGAACAUUAGUUUUCUUACAUGACUUGAAUCAAAUAUGGUUUUGUUUAGGUAACAAAUAAUAGCAUUAGAAUCUAUAGUUAUUUGGAGGCAUAUCUUAUUUCUCCUGGUCUCAUCUCUUUCCUGACUAGGAUAUUGUGUCCACAAAAGUACCUUGCAUGAAAGAAUUGCCUCUGGUUACCAGGCUGCUGCAGGAACUGAAACUACUUUUAGGUAACCCUUUAAGUACCAUCUCCUCCAUGACACCAAUGUCAUAGGACAGAUCAAGGAGUUAAACCUCAGGAGCCUGCCUUAGCUGCAGGGACAAUUAUUGCCUUCCUCCAAUCUCUUUUUCUUUUUAAAAUCCACCUCUUGUUUUUAUUUUAAAUCUGUUUUAUGUCUGACACUGCUUAUUCUUUAAGAUCUGUGGUCUGAUUUAUUACAUAUGGUGACUUCACACAAAUCCUUCUCAAGACUCCAAGAUUUUUCCCCAUUCUGGUGUCUCCCCUAUAUGACUGGAUUAAGUAUAGCAAAGUGCUCAGAAAUUUUAUUCCUACAUACAGUUGACAUUUUCUCCUGUUAAUUCUACUGAUGGUACCACUUCAUCUCUUGGAAUCACAUAAAACAAUUCUAUCCUUCUCUUUAAUUGGGUGUUCUUCGUGUGUUGAGGACAACUCUUGUCUCAUGUUAGCUUUCUCUUGGAUGAAAAACCCUGGUUUCCCAGCACUUUAUAAAGCUUGGACUUUUGUCAUCUUGGACAUAUGUCUCCUGAUGCUCUCUCACUUGUUUGCCAAGUUCUAGUAUCUUUCUCUAAUUUACUUCAUCAAAGUAUGGUGUACUUGUGAGUAAAAGCAGUGUCUAAUAAUGACAGAUAAAAGGCACAAAGAGGAACCACUCAGGGCAAACCAAUACAAAAAAAAUGCUAUUCCUGUCAAAAUCUUACUUGAGCAUUUUAUAUAACCAGCCAGGUAGGUUCUGAUCAAAAGAGCUACACAUGUGCUCUUACUUACUGAGAUCUGAAUGCUUUACUUCUGUUAGUGCAGCCGAAGCCUAAGUGUAGUCAUAGGUGAGUGCUCCCCUUGAAUGCUUGCCUGCAUUUCCAUUUUGGUAAAUGUUUUAGUCAGCUUGGUUGCUACAUGACCAAAAAGACAUGACAAGAACAGUUAGAAGCAGAAAGUUUAUUCUGGGGUUCAUGGUUUCAGAGAUUUCAGUCCAUAGAUAGCUGACUCAAAUCCUCCUGGCAGAAUAUCAUGGCAGAAGCAGGUAGCAAAGGGAAACAGCUGAAAACAUGGCACCAGGAAGCAGAGAAAGAGCUCCACUCAACAAGAAAAAAUAUAUAUUCUAAAGGCACACCCCCAGGGACCCAGCUAUGUCCUCCAGCUACACCCUGCCUGCCUACAGUUAGCAGCCAGUUAAUCCCCAUCAGAGGAUUAAUGCACUAAUUAGGUUGAGGCUCUCAUAACCUAAUGAUUUCACCUGUAAACCCUCUUGCAUUGUCUCACAUGAACUUUUAGAGGACAUCUAAUACCUAAAUCAUAGCAGUGUGUUUCAACUUUUCUUUGAGGAAACAUUCCUCCCUCAAUUGAGGUGCAUCCUGAUUUCACAGAUGGACCCAUGUCCCACAUCUGGCCAAUCAAGCAACAUUUCUACCUACCUUACAGUGACUGCCUUCAGCUGAGCAAGACAUUAGAAAAACACUGAUCACAAUGCCUACCUAGCACACUAACACAAAAAAAUGCCAACUCUUCACUAUCACUUAGAAGCAUUUUUCAUAGUAACACAAGAAAGGAAACAACACAAAUGUCCAUUUGCUCAUAAUUUGGAUGCAUAACAUGUGGUUAUCUAUUUUAUAAACAUGGAGGAACCUUAAAAACAUCAUGCUAUGUCAAAGAACCCCAUUACAAAACAAUACAUUCCAUAAUUCAUUUAUAUAAAAUGUCCUGAAUAGGCAAAUUUAUAUAGACAGAAAGAAGUUGCCUAGUUCUGAGGGUGAAUAUGAGAAAUACAGAUUACUACUAAAGGAUAUGGAGCUUCUUUGGGGAAAAUGAUGUUCUAAAUAUCCUAAAAUUGAUUAUGAUUAUGGUGAUAGUUGGAUAACUGAAAAUAUUAAAAACCUCUGAAGUGUACACUUCAAAUAGGUGAGCUGUAUGAUGUCAAUAAAGCUAUUACAAUAGAAAAUAAACACAGAAGGACUUACAUCCAACAUUUGAAUACUUAUUUACAAAAUGUUGAUGGCUUCAACAUCUCAUGGACUUUUAAAGCAAUCCUGGAAAGAAGUUGAUAUUGCUAGAUAAAGUUGGAGAAAAUAAGACCUAAAGACUGUAAGUGAUUUGCUUGAGACAUUGGAUUGUUUGUGGUAGAGCCAGGAGAUGUCAGCCUCUGCUCCCUGUGGUCAAGUUUAGUGUUAUCUGCUCACUCCUUGUUUACUUAGCCUCAACCACCUUAUUUAGGGAACUGUACAUAUAACUCUGAUUUUGUGCCAGUCACUGUUCUAAGCCCUUCAGAUAUAUUAGCUAAUUAAAUCCCCACAAUAACCCUCUGAAGAAGUGAAACCCUCCUUCUGGCUGAAGAAGUAGAAGCAGGGAAUGUAACUUUCCCAGAUCAUACAGCGAGUACCUGACAAAACUAAAUUUGAACCUAGACCAUAUUGCUCUUCAACCUCUGCAUGCUAGAGGGAGAAUGGCUUCCUUCAGUGCCUGUAUCUGAGACCUCUACCUCAAUGUAAAAUGAGACAAAGGUGACUGCUCCAUCUGUUCAGCUGGGUUAAGAUCUGACACUGGGGCACCACUCAAGUGUUUCAGUGGCCUGGGAUUCCCCAGCACUAGAGCCAAAGGUGAGUGGUAUCGGUCAGUUGAUGACUUUUCUUCUCAAAAGUUCUGCCAGCAGCAGUGUUUGCUUUGUGGUAACUAAACAAAUCUUUCAUCUAAGGUGACCAGGCUGGGGGUAAGCAGGAGAGAGGAGUUGCUGCAGAGUGUGUACUUUGUUUUAUGAAGACACACCAUCACUAAAGAAGGAGACAGAACAGACAGAAUAAGAGCUGUGUGGUGCAAGAACAAUUUCUUACCACACACACACACGCAUGCAUGCACACACACUGUGCUGAUGGCAAUUCUGCGGUCCUCAUUAAUCUCACUGCAGACUGGCCACAGAGUUGCAGAUUUUGUUCUACUUUGGCUCCCUGAAUCAGUAGGGCAGCCCCCAGCUAGUACCAAGGCUUGUCCUUCCAGUUGCAUGUUUAGAGAAGACUUAGAGGUAUAAAAGUGCUUCUCUUGUGACUUAGUCUCUAUGUACACCUCUGUGUGUCAGAUGUAAGCAGGAGUUGUUAGCAGGCCACAACAGGCUCCUUUUCUCCCUGCAGCAUCUGUGCCUGGCUUGCUCAGUCAUUCUUGCAUUUGCUUUGUGGGAGGUGCCAAACUGUUUAACUUCACCAUGCAUUAGGGAACUCAAAGAGUUAAGCCAACCCCUACAGGGCUGGGGUUGAGGAUUCUGGUUUCCUUGUGGUGACAUGGGAGAGGAGGGCUGUACCUACAUGUGCCCAGAGCUGUCCUGCUUGCUGCUCCUGUAGCAGUUAAGUCAAGGACUGCUCACUAUUCUUCAGGUCACAGUGUAUAGCAUGGUGAGCAUUAAUAAUGACGCUGCCUUUUAGGAUACAAGCCUGUUAAGGUGUAAUUUGUGGUGUUUGCAAUUUAUCCUCACUGUAAUAUACCUGGACAAUACUUUUGGUCUAUUUAUUUUUUAUUUUGAAUACAACUGGAAUCUGAAUUCUGAUUUUGUUUUAGAAGGAAGUUCAUAAAUGCUUCUGUACUGAAAGAAGAGCUUGGGAAGGCUGGUGGAAUAAUUGGAUCCUUCAAGUUUCUACUAAUUUUAGUGUAUUCUGGAUUAUACUGUUUAGUCUUAUAAUUAGCUAUUAGAAAACUUUGGCCCAAAUUUAAUACCCAUUUUUAGCAAAUAUGAAUGUUACCUUAUCACUACCCUUGUUUUUUCCUUUCUCCUGAUUGCCUUCCUUUUUAUCAAUUGAAAACCUGAUCACAUUCUUUUUGCAAUGAGUUUGGUCACACACAAAUAAAAAGAUCAAAUCAUGCAUCUGUACAUAAACAUUUCUUAAGAGGCAGGUCUACUGGAAACAAAUACCCUCAAUUUUCAUCUAAGUGAGUCAUUUUCUUUCUUUCACAUUUGAGGAAUAAUAUUGCAAGGCACAGAAUUCUAGGACAGGGGCAUUUCUGUCUCAAUAGUUUAAAUAUUUCAUACUAUACUCUUCUUUUUUGUAUGGUUUCUGAAAAAGUCAAAAGUAAUUCUUGUACUUGCUCUCCAAUAUGAAUAAAGUAUUUUUCUCUUUCAUUUCUUCUGUGAAUUUUUCUUUAUAUAUAGAUUUUUAUAGUUUAAAAAUUAUACACAUAAAUUGCUUUAUUUUCUUUUGUGGUGUGUAUCCACUUGGUGUCUGUUCUCUGUGUUUCUUCGAUCUGUGGUUGGUAUGACAUUAACGUGGGGAAAUUCUUAGUCUUUCUUGUUUCAUAUAUUUCUUCUGUUCCAUUCUCUUUUCCUUCUUCUGAUUUUCCCAUCAUGAAUAUGUCUGACUUUUAGAGAUGCCCCACAGUUCCCAGAUACUCUGUUCUUUUUUUUUUUUUUUUUCAGAAUGCUUACCUUUUGCUUUUCAGUUUGGGUGGUUUCUAUUGAGAUGUCCUCCAUUUUAAAGAUUCUUUCUACAGUAAUUUCCAGUCUAUUAAGAAACCAAUCAAAGGAUUCUUCAUUUCUUUUUGUGGGGAGGGGUACCAGGGAUUGAUCCCAGGGGUGCUUAAUCACUGAGCCACAUCUCCAGCCCUAUUUAAUUUUUAUUUUGAGAUAGGGUCUCCCUAAAUUGCUAAGGAUCUUGCUAAAUUGCUCAGGCUGGCUUUGAACUUGCAAUGCUCCUACCUUAGCCUCCAGAGCCUCUGGGAUUACAGGCUUGUGCCACCAUGCCCAGCUAGGAUUCUUUAUUUCUGUUAGAGUAUUUUUGAUCUCUAGAAUCUAAUUGUGUUUCAUUCUUAGAAUUUUUGGCUCUCAACUUGCAUUGUCUAUAUGUUCUCACAUGCGGUCUACUUUAUCCAGUAGAGCACUUAGAUAAAUCACAGUCCUUUGCUGGUUUGAUAAUUCCAACAACUCUGCCAAAACAUUUCAAAUUCUUGGUCUGAUCAUUUCAACAUCCCUGCCCUAUCUGAGUCUGGCCCUGAUGUUUGCUUUGCCUCUUCAAACUGCGUGUGUUAAUACCCUCUAGUACACCUUAUAAUUUUUUUUUUUGUAGAUAGCCAGACAUGAUGUACUAAGAAAAAGGAACUGCUAUAAAUGCAUAAUUAGUACUGUGAUGAUAAGGUGUGUGUGUGUGUGUGUGUGUGUGUGUGUAGCGGAAGUGCUUUAUAGUCCUAUUAUUAUUGAGUUUCAGUCUUUUACGAGACUAUGCUUCUAGACCGUUAUUGCACAAGUUAUAAUUUCUCCCUUCUUAGAUAUGACAGGAUGGGAAGAGGGGGCUGGACCUUGAAUAUUUCCAUUCUUGCAGGUCAGUUAGAUUCUGUUAAAGCCCCAUUAGUUUGGGUUCUGGUUAAUAGUUGCAACUAUUUUUUAUACACAGUGGAAUAUUACUUAGACAUAAAAAAUAAAAUUAUGGCAUUUGCUGAUAAAUGGAUGAAACUGGAGACUAUUAUUCUAAGUAAAAUAAGCCAAUCCCCCAAAUCCAAAGACUAAAUGUUCUGUCUGUCAUGUGUAUGCUAACAUAUGAUAAGGGAGGCGGGGAGGGAUAGAAGUACUUUGGAUUAGAAAAUGGGGAAUGAAGGGAAGGGAGGGAGGAUAGAAAUAGGAAAGAUGGUAGAAUGAAGUAGACAUUGCUUUCAUAAGUUCAUAUAUGAAUAUUCAAUCAAUGUAACUUCAUAUCAUGUACAACCGAAAGAAUGGGAAGUUAUAAUCCAUGUAUGUACAAUAUAUAUCAAAAUGCAUUCUACUGUCAUGUAUAACUAAAAAGAAACAAUAAAUUUUUUUAAAAAAAGAUUAAUCCUAAUUUUUACAUAAUUCCUAAAUUAAUUCUAACCUUUUCUGCAUUAGAAUUUGUAGAUGUAGUGGCCAUGAUAUUUUCACCAAUUUUAUCUCCAUUCAACAAAUAUUUUUAUAAAACAAAAGUCACAAAGAAGUUGUUUAUGGGCUGGGGGUGUGGCUCAGUGGUACAGUGCUCACCUUGCAUGUGUAAGAUCCUGGGUUUGAUCCUCAGCACCACAUAAAAAUAAAUAAGCAAAAUAAAGAUAUUGUGCCCAUGUAUAACUAAAAAAAUUUAAAAAAGAAGUUGUUUAUGAUAAUUUUGAAUGUGUUCCAAAUAUAAAUGCUGCAAUUUUGUAGGUUUUUCCCUACAAAAUUCCAUUUCAGUGCAGAAUAUAAAAUUAUCCCAUUAAAUUCCUCAAAAGGGACUUCCAAUAGAAAAGUUAUUCUAACAUACUAUUCCAAAAUUUCAGAGUUAAAUAUUAAUGUGUGAGUUCUGCACAUUUUUUCCAGUUUCUCCAUUUCUUUUUUAGGAAUACAUUUGAGUGAAUUUCUGGUUUUGAGCUUUAUUUUAAUAAUUAGAGCUUUUCAAAGUAAAUGGUAAAAGCUGAAGUUUUUGAUUUGCAUUCAUUGACUACUUGCCUAAAAUUAUGUAAAUUAUAUUGAACAAAUAAAAAUUUGGAGGAGUUGUUUAUAUGACUGAUUUUCAAAGUUUUUUUUAGAGGCUUAAACUUUCCUCAGAUUUGAUUAAUGAUAUAUAUCAAAUAGAGAAAACAGAUUCUCCCUUGCAUAUAAAUAUCAAAAACUGUUUAGUGGAUUAUUUUGUAAUUUAUUUAAUACUAUUAUAUGAAAUACUCCUAAGUCUUAUAACAGAUAUGUCUAUUUUAAUUAUAUAUCACAGCUUAUUUGGUUCUGAAUAUAUGAUAUGUAUGAACUUCAGCUAAUUCCUAACACAUUUCCUUCUCAUAAGAUUCUUAAUUUAGUAAUAAUAUUUUUUACCAUAACACUCUACAAAAAAUGUAUAUUACUACUACUACAGAAUAUUUGGUCUUUAAUGCUGACCUCUUAAAUUAAUUUACAGUGGCAUCUCAAUGAUGCCAGGUGUCUCACUUUAGGGAGAAUAAUCUUAGAAAAAAAAGCUUUAUUUUUAUCUCAGUAAUUGGAUGAAAAAAACUCCAACCUUUAUUGAAAUUAUAUUAAAUCAUUGUCUAGUUUUUGUACUGGAUCAUGUUGGGAUAAAAAUGACAUCAUUUAAGUAUUAUCAAUUAAUUUAUCUUACAUGUACAAUGUAAUGUGGACUAAAAAUGAAAUAAAUUUCUUUUUUAAAAAUAGUCAUCUAAUUUGUGUGAAAAUUUAUGCAUCCCAGAAUGAUAUUUAUAUGUGUAAUUUGUAGGUGAAUGACCUGAAGCAUCUUCAGGCAUAAUCUUUUUGCAAUAAAUAUUAAAUUAACUUUGAAUUAAGUUGUUAUGGUUUGGAUCUGGAAUGUCCCUAAAAGGCUCAAAACCUGGUUCCCAGUACAGCAAUUUUCAGAAGUGGGGAUGUUAGUAAGUGACUGGGUAAUAAAAUCCCUGAUCUCAUUGGUGUAUUAAUCUAUUUGGGGUGGGGAUGGUUGGAGAUGUAGAUCACUGGGGCAUGGCCUGAAAAUGUAUUUCAUGUCCCUGGUCCCUUCUUCCAUACCUCCUCUUUCUCCCUGCUUUCUGGCUGCCAUGAGCUGAGUAGCUUUCUUUUGCCACAUCCUUCUGCCAUUAUGUUUCUGCCUUAGAGCCAGCUGACUAUGAACUGAAACCUCAGAAACUGUGAGCUAAAAUAAGGUUUUUCACAUCUAAGUUAUUUUUCUUAGGUAUUUGUCACAGUGAUGAAAAGUUAACCCAGAAAAUUUGCAUCAGGAGUUGGGUUGUUACUGUGACUAUAACUAACCUUAUGGUUCAGAAGACUUUGGAACUGGCUUUCAGAAGGAGUUUGGAAAAGUUAGAAGCUGCAGGCUAGAAAAGCCUUAGAAUGUUAUAAGCAGAGCUUAAUGGAUGAGUUUCAUGUGAUCAUGGAAGACUAGAAUGCCAAUAAGAAUGUGGACAGUAAAGAUUGUACACAUGAAGAUUUGUGCACAUGAGGACUUUAUGGGGAAUUAGACUAGAGCCCAUGAAUGCCACAUUCUGGAACUUAUCUACAUUUUUAUCCUGAAACUUUUUGUGAGGCUGAAUUUAAAGAUAAUAGAUCAAUUAAUUUGAUGGACUUUCAAGACAGAGCAGGAUUCAGGCAAUGGCAUGGGUAUUGCUGGCAGAUUUUAGUCAGGUUUAUAAUGAGAAUUGGGAGCAAAAAGAAUGAUGGAAAGAAUUGAAAAACUGGCUUUUUGUCCAGAAAAGUUCAGGUAAAAUUGGGGCCAAAGUAAUUGUGAUUGCUGAAGAGAUUAGUACCACUAAAGAGAAGCUAAGAACUUUGCACGCAGACAAUAGGAUAGAUACUUUGAGGGCAUCUUUAUAAUUGGCAAGACCCCACCCAUCUCAUUUUUAAAGUUGUAAGAGUGUAAACUCAUUUGAAGGACUUUACUUUGAGAAGAGAUUGCUGGGACACCCUGCUUACGCAGGGUCACCUAGGAAGUUAUUACCCCAGAAUUCAUUUCAUUUCAUUUCAGCAUGCUUAGUCAUCCAGGCACUCAGAGGCCACUCCAACCGUGGUCUAGGCAGGCCCAGAUUUGUUGGCAGCAUACCUUGGCAUCACUCAUGUGGUGGUGGUUUGGCAGGCAUAAAAAAAAUGUAAGUUAUGGCAUCAUGAAGGCUUCCACUGAGAUUUCAAAGGAAGGCCUCCAAAGCCAGUCAAUAUGAUCAGGAUCAAAAUCUCUGCAGGAAUCCUCUGAGAGAGCAAUACAUGAAGCUGUGAGAAUGAAACCUAAAUUGAGAACUCAAGAAGUUAAAGAUGCCAGGAACAUAAAACAUCUGCUAAGGAAAGCUUCAGGCAGCAAGCAGAGCCAGCCUAAGAGAGAGAACACAUGGGCUGUAACCAGCAAGGCCAUAGGGGCAUGGCUGGCUGCCCAAGCUUUCUGGAAGCCAUAUUCUGCCACCAUAUGCCACUGAUACUGGAGCUAUAAGAAUUGUUUGACUAGCUGGGUUUCCAUCUUGCUUUGGUCCCAUUCAUUAUUUCUAUGCCCCUAUUUCUCUUUUGAAAUGUAAAUAUUUGCCCUGUGAAAUUAUGUUGAAAAUAUUUAACUUGUUUUUGAUUUUUAUAGGAAAUCAUAGCUAAAAGUUUGCUUUGAGUGUUAGAGAAGAGUUUGCAUUUGGAUUUGGGGCAAUGCUGAACUGUUAAGACCAUAGGACUCUGAAUGUAUUUUAGGACUGAAUGUAUUUUACAAUGUGAAAUGAGCAAGAUCAUUUGGAUACCAGAGGUCAAAUGUUUUUGUUUCUAUCUGGCAUAUUUUCAAAGGUUAUUGCAUGGAAAGCAUAUUCCCCAAUACAGAGAUGGAGACUUUGGUAGUUCAGAGGUAUGACAUUGGGAAGUGAUUGGAUUUGGGGGACUCUGAUCUCAUCAGUGUGUUAAUCCAUCAAUAACUGAAUGGACUACUGGGAAGUGGUGGAAACUAGGUGGUGGGGCACGGUUCAAGGAAUUAGAUCUCUGGAGGCGUGCCCUAGAAAGUUAUUUCUUCUCCCUGUCCCAUUUUCUUCCUCUCUCUCUCUCUCUCUCUCUCUCUCUCCUUUCUGGUUGCAUAAGCCACGUAGCUUUCCUCUGCCACAUCCUUCCACUAUGAUGUUUCAUCCUUGGAGACAGUUGGCCAAGCUCUGAAACCAUAAGCCAAAAUAAAUCUUUUAUCCUCUAAGUUGUUUUUCUCAGGUAAUAGUCACAAUGAUGCAAAGCUAACACAUAGGUGUUGAUGAUUCUUCAGAUUUUUGUCUUCUUGUUUCUUGUGGUCACUGAUAUCAUUAUAGAUUCAUGGUCAGAUGAUAAACAUCAAUAUCCUAUAAGAGUUAUACUUUGAUUUACAAAUAUUUUUAGACAGGUAAAUUUAAUACUUAAUUUUUCAUUAAAUAUUCAUCAUUUAUGAAUAGAUUUGAAAUAGAUUGAAAAUCAACCUUUCUGGAGCCCAUUUCAGUUCUGAAGGUACCACUCACAGUCUUUAUUUUAAGUCAUGUAAUUUCACACAGACCAGGCACUCCUGAACACCAGACAGCCUUUUGCUUUAGAGUCAGAGUAAGAAAACUCACAGCUGGGCCAGCAGCUGUGGCCUCAGCUCUGCCCUCACACUGUUCCCACUCCCUGGAACACAAGAUUGUCUCUGAAGUGAGGAACUUCUAAAGCACAUAACAUUAGAGCAUGAGUUUUGUAAGUUCUGCACCUAGGUGGGCACUCCUUUCUCUAUCCCAAGGUGAUUCCCUUGCUCACCUUCUAAUUUUUUUUAAACCUGCCUUUUCCUCUCUCCACAUCACAUUAUUUUCCCUUUGCUUACUUUUUUAGACCUUUAUUUUAUCUAUUUAUUUAGUUUUAUGUGGUGCUGAGGGUUCCAGUGCCUCCUUGUGCUAGGUGAGUGCUCUACCAUUGAACCACAACCCCAGCCCCAUACUUACUCUUAAAAUGAGAAUCCUUAAGCUCAGAAAGUUUAAUAAAGUGUCCUUAUAGGGGAGAAAUGACGAGUACUUUACUGUAGGUUCAGGAUCAUCUGAGGAAGUAAUAAAAAAUGGUAUUUUUGAUCCCCAUUAAAGAAUUUUAAAAAAUGAAAAACAGGUUCAGAAAGGCUGUGUGGCUUGCCGCAAGGUCACCUAGAUAGUACAGGGCAGAGCCUGGCCUCACUCAUCACCUUACUGUCUUAACAUUCUUCCCGCUGCCCCCUGUGAGUUCCAUAAGGUAAAACAGGGGUACAGCCAAGAGAGAGUGCCCACACACCACCUAUUAUACACAGGCAUUCAGAAUCCCAAAGUAAAUCAGAAAGUAAAGAGAGAAAAAGGCAAGUUAAGUCCAGGAACAAUGGGCAGCAUUUGGGCCCAGUUAAUUACCAGCGCUAUGUUCAGGGAGCCAUGAAUACUCCUCAAAGCCCUUAAGAUACAUGGAUGUGUGUUGGCCCUUCUUCAUCUGAGUUUAGAGUCUGUGUCAGUCAGUUGUGUGUCACUGACCAAAAUACCCAACAAGAAAAAUUUAGAGGAGGAAACAUUUAUUUGGGAUCAUGGGUUCAGAGGUUUCAGCUCAUGGUUGGUCAACUCCAUUUCUCUGAGCCCGAGGUGAGGCAGAACAUCAUGGUAGAAGGGCAUGGUGAAGGGAAGCAGUUCCCAUCAUGACAGCCAGGAAGCAGAGAGAAAUAAGAGGAGGAGCCAAGGGGACAGGAUAUAAUCCCUUAGAGCACACCUCCAUAUACACCUCUCCAGCAGUGCGCCACCUGCCUACAGUUACCAUGCAAUACAGUAUUCCUUUCAAGUCAUUAAUCCAUCAAAUAGAUUAAUCCUUGUAAUAGGUACAGUUCUCAUGAUUUAAUAAUUUCACUGCUGGUAUUAAUGCAGGAACUUUGGGGGAAUUUCAUAUCAAAACCAAAAGAGGUUCCAUAUAUUUCCUUCACACUUCAAAGAUGUAGAACUUUUAUUUAAAAAAAGAAAGAAAGAAAAGAAAAAGAAAAAAAAUACACAAAGCUCUAUUUUUAAUUUAGAACAUGGAUGGGAUGGGGCAAGAAAUAUAAAAGUUCUAGUGAGAAUAUUUUGGAACAAAUGAAAUAAAUUUCUCUACUUUUUUUGUUCACUUCAAAAGUUAUACAAGACCCAGCUUAAUGCUUAGAUUACAGUCUACUUGGUUUCAGAAAUUUCAGGAAAGCAAUUUCGUAUAGUAAAAGGAACAUGGGCUCUCUGGCCUGCUACUAGUUUCAAAGCCUUGGAUCCCUUUAUGCUGCUUAGAAACUAGGAAUAUUUUAUCUUUUGAAGAGUUAAUACAUAGAAGGUGUCACAAAGUUAAAACCCAUACAGGUCAUAUUUGUUCCACAGAAGUAGUUUUCUUUGCUCAAAAAAUUGAGAAGAGUAUUUUAAAAAUUCCUUUGCAGGAGAACUGCCUUCUCAAGCACUCUUCACUCCUCUCUCUGGUCUUGAACUCACCUGUAUCAGGAGAUUUUUUUUCCUUGUUCUGGCCCCUGCAUAUUUGAGUUCAAUCUCUUUUUCAGGAAAAUUCCAGGAUGUGGAAGUGACUAGUAGAAAGCAUGCGCUCGGUGAAUAUUCUGGUUCUCUGAGGCGUGAGCACUCUGAAAUUUGAUAUAUAAUAUUCUGCAAUUUGAAUUUCAACUUCCCUUCUCCAUUUGUUGGUUCCUCAUCUUCUUUCCUCUCCCCAUGAUGGAAUGUCUUAGGUAUUUUUCUUCCCUGAUUAUACCCUCUCCCUUUGGUGGUUCCAUGUUAUCUCAUGGCCUUUAAUAUGAUCUAACCAGUGAUGAUUCUAAAUGUGUGCAUUUGGAACAGGGGAAUGUCUGGAAGACCUCUGUUUCAUACCUGAUUAUCUAAUAGUGAGGCAAAUACAUCCGAGUUUGUCCAAAUCCUUCCCAAUUUGCAAAGGAAAGUCCUCAAUUGUGCCUUAUUUGAUAUAUUAUUUGUUUUGGAUUUUUCAUUUUUUAAUGAAGUAUAAUCAUUAUCAUCUUAAUUUCAAAAGUCAAAAUGUGUUUGUGAGAUCUUCACUUUGUACUUCUGUCUCCCAUCUUGGUCUUGUAUAGUAAUGUGUAAGAUGUAUGGACAAUAUAUAGAAUUUACUUUUUAACAUGUACUUAUAAUCAAAAUAACCCAUGUCUCUUUUCUCAACCCUUUUUUCUGAUGAAAUACAACCAAUGACUUUCUCUCAAAAAAAACAUGUAGAAUAUUUGCUGAUUUAAAAACAAUGUACUGGAUACAAAAGAUGGCUAACUACUUCUGUAGACAGAUAAUGAUAGGGAACUAUUGAAAGCCACUGCUGUAGUCAGCCACUUGGUGGACCCCAAUUUUGCCACGGAUACCACUAUGGCUUGCAAAAUACACAAAGAUAGUUAAUGAGGUCCUUAGGAAACACAGAAAGUUGCAGAUUAAGUAUACAUGAAAAUAAGUAGGAAAUAAAAACUAGGAAAUCAGAUUAUGAGUAGAUUAGUCUAAAUGUUCUUGUUACAGAAGUCUUGUCACUUUCUGUCUGGUAUAAAUCUAUAGAUACUUAUUUAUUGCUUGACAACAAUUUAAUACAGUAAAGAGACCAAAGGAAGGUCUCAUUCAUUCAAGGAGAUUGUAGGAGAUUGAUGGGACUUCCUAAACUGUGUCCUAACUGAAGCUAUUAUGGUUGAGUGUAACCGAUCCAACUUAUUUCUAAAUUCUACUGUAUUUUAUAUUAUAUAGAAACUUCUGCAAAACAAGUUUCCAAAGUCAUUCUUUAUAACAAAAUUAGAUAUUUUAUUAGCCCAGAGGGGAAAAUAUUGAUCUACAAAAUUCUCCAGUGGGUUUUGUUCUGAGUUCUGAGUCACUAACUGCCAUAGAAAGGGUCUAUAUGGCUAGAAAUUUUAGUCCUGUUAACAGCACCUGAAGUGUUCUUGGUUCUCUCUGUGUUAUAGUUGGCAAUACCAGUACUGAGAGAUUGGUAAGCAAAUCAAUCAAGAGAAUUUCUGAGGCUGAGGUUGUGGCUCAGUGCUAGAACACUUGCCUAGUACGUGCAAGGUACUAGGUUUGAUCCUCACCACCACAUAAAAUAUAUUGUUUGGCUUCAAUUUUAGUUCCCCUUGUGUGUGUGAGUGUGUGUUUGUGUGUGUGUGUGUAUAUAUAUAUAUAUAUAUAUAUAUAUAUAUAUAUAUAUAUAUUCACAGGAUCUAAUAACCUUCAUUGAUAAUUUCCAGUGUAUUAUAAUACGAGUGUCCAAUUCCCAGGAAGAAUCAUAAUGACACUUUUAAAGAGAAUACCUUGAAAAAUGUUAUAAAAGAAAACAUUUUCAUUAAUUCUGUGAAUGAAGGAAGGAAAUGGACCUGUGGAGGGAGCAGUGGCCUUGGAGCAGGAAGAUGGUUCAAAUUCUGACCCAUGUUCACCAAGUUGUAGGCUUUUUCUCACCCUGAAGUUCCUUAGAAUAAGGAUCUAGAAGAAGAAAGAUAGCUCUGACAUUUGAAUCUUUGGUUCUUUCUCAUAACCAGAGAGAAAAAUGCUAAUUCUUCAGGAAUUGGCCAUCCUUUCUGCAGAAUUUUAGAGCUGACAGAAGCCUUUUGGAUUAGGGAUGCAUGUUUUAUUUUUUCUAGAUCCAGUUUAUUGAUUCUUGUAUCCUGGUAUUCCUUCUAUUCCAUUGAGUUUUUUUCAUUAUUUUACAAUUAUUGAGCACCUACCAUGUGUGAGACCCCUUGCUUAGGCACUGGGAAUAUCAGAUGGCAAAAAUCCAGUCUUGUUCUCAAGUAGCUCAUAGUGUAAUUGGAGUGGAAAGAUACCUGCAUUGGAGUCUGGACAAAUACCAGCACAAGCAGCUUCUCCAGCACUUGAGAUACCUUCCCUCCUGGUUGGAUACUGUGUUCUGCCGGCUUUCUUCCACAUCUCUGGCAGCCUUCCUGGAAUUACUGAAAGCCAUAUUUAAAUUUAAAACAUUAUUUUUAGAAAAAAAAAUAGUUCAUAUUGCUCCUUCGUACCUCCUGCUCUUUAGGUGUGAAUUCCACUUGUCAGAGACUGAUGUCUAUAGACAGAUCUUCCUUGGUAAGGCAAAGUGACAAGCUCUAUUAUUUCUUUUCCUAUCUGCAAAGUUUUAUCAAGGAUGGGUUCUUAAAAUGAAGUUACACUAAACUUCUGGAUCCACAUGAUAAAGUAAAAUUUAAUCCCGGGUUUGGGCACUAAUGGCGCAUACCUGUAAUCCCAGCAAUUCGAGGGGCUGAGGCAGGAGGAUCUAGAGUUCAAAGUCAGCCUCAGCAAAAGUGAGAUGCUAAGCACUUCAGUGAGACUCUGUCUCUAAAUAAAAUACAAAAUAGGGCUGGGGAUGUGGCUCAGUGGUUGAGUGCCCCUGAGUUCAAUCCUUGGUACCCACCCUCCCAUUAAAAAAAAAAAAAAUUAACCCAAUCUUUCUCCUAACUUGCUAUGGGAAAGUGAUUUCACCCCUCAGUGCCUUGGUUUUCUAGUUGCAAAAUGGAGACAUGAUUUGCUAAUGUAUUCUUUUCCCUUGUUAGAAAUCAUGAAGUUUUAGAAUUAUUAUACAACCCUGUCAUCCUAGGCAAUUACUUCUAUUACUUUGGUGUCCAUCCCUAUUCACAUACCAACAAGUCCACAAUCCACCUGAUAUCCCAUCCAGAAAACGGGAAGCUAAUAUGGCCACAUUUCUGUCUCCAACUGAAGAGCCAAUCAGUCAUCAUGUCCCACCACCUAAAUUUCUUUCAAUGUAUUUUCCCAAGUUAAGCCUCCAUGUUCUCUUCCACGAGCUCUCUCCUAACUGGCCUGCUAUAUAUACAUCCUUUGCUUUCUUUCAAUUCCUCCUCCCAAGGGCUGGGUGAGGAGAAAGUAAUCUUUUGAUGGUCUAAGUUCUAUAUACUGGUACUAUAUACUUGUUUUUGUAGUUGCUGUUGAGUUUAAUAAUUAAUAUAGAAGAUUCGCAGUUGCUUGUUUUUAAUAUUUAUCCUUUAGCAUAUACUAUGUUCUACAUGGAAGUGAGCUCAGAGCUUCCAGUCAGAUGGUAGUGUACUUACCUAUAACACAUUCAUAUGGGGAGCUUAGUCUAUGAGUAUUUCAGGAUUAGGGGAGUUCACUAUAGUUACAGUUUAUUUCUCCAAUUCUGCUGGAACUACAUAUCCAAGCAUUUAAACAGUGACUUACAGUGAUUAUAAAGAUAAAGAAACAGAACUUGAGUUUCUUUAUUUUAUUGUUCUAUGUGACUACAUGGAAACUUUACAUUUUUAAAAUUUAUUGCAGAAAACUUUAAGCUAUAAUCUCUUUGGGCAUGUGCACCUUUUAGUUCAUACAAAAAUUAAAAUAAUGUCUUUAAUGUUGAAAGUAUUAUAGGUAUUGUAUCAAAACUAAGCAAUUCAAGAACAUAAUGAUUACUGAAAAUAAUUUACCCUGUUGGCAUAACUACAUAUUUGGUCUUUGUUCCUUGUUUUGGACACAGAGUUCUUAAACCCUUGGUAUUUCCUGAGUGAUGAGAGACUUUUAUUCUAAUAAGAUCACUCUUAGUGGGCUCCUAGAUAGCUCUGGGGUGGGAGUUGCUUGUCAAGAAGUUCAAACCUUGACUAAAGGUCUGGAACUUGGAGUUCUACUCCACAAUCUCCAGGGAGGGGAGAGGGACUAGAGAUUGAUUUAAUAAUUGUUCUUGCUUACAUUUAAUUGUUCAAUUUUGCCUUAUGAAAAGUAUGAUUAUGCUUCCUUCUUCACCUUGGCUGCUAGGAAACCCAUAUAGAAUUUGUGAAAUUAAUCAUCUUAUAGGACAGAGGAUAUUGUGACAUAUUUUACAAACUAACUUUGGUCUGUUGAAACCCUUACACAUUGAGAUUCACGGAGUUUCUGGAUUAUUAUGAAGGCACCCAGAGAGGGUAUAGAUUGGCUAUGGCUCUUCUCAUACCUUGCCAUAGGCAUCUUUAACAUCUGGCCAUUCCUGAGUUUUACCGUUUAUAAUAACCCAAUAGUAGUAAGUAAUGUCCUAAGUUCUAUGAAUUUUUUAGUAAAUUAUAAAUCUUAGAAGAAGGGUUAGUGAGUACCCCAAAUUUGUAUCCAAGUCAGACAGAAGUAUGGGUAACCUGAUAAUGCUGUAUUUACAAUUGGUGUCUGAAGUGAGAUAGUCUUGGGAAAUCAGCCUUUAAACAUAUAGAGUCUAAUAGUGGCUUUGGGUAGUUAGUAUCAAAAUUGAACUGGAUUGUGGGACACUUAGCUGGUAUCAGAGAACUGGAGAACUGGUUGUUGGUGUGGAAAACCUCCAUGCAUUUGAUAUUAGCAAUGUUACAGGUGAAAAAAAAAAAAAAAACAGUUCAUUGUCCAGUAGAGGGUGUUAAAAAAAUGAUCUUCUCUCGUUAGCUGUCAAGUAACUGACACACUGUCCAGUACCAUGGAGCUGUUACCAGCUCUGACACUUUAGGUACUCAUCUCGCAGGUUCCCUUCUUCCCUUUGCCAUGGGCAUGCCCAUCUUCCUUAACAGCUCAGUAUUUCUUUUCCUGGGGUACUCCUUCCACAGACAGACUCUGAGUUGCCUGAGGGCAGCUGCCUUAUUUCUACAGCUCAGUAACUUCUGUGGCCUAGGAGAGUUCACCCUGGGAAUAGGCACUUCCCCCAAAGUAUGUCAAUAUAAACUCUAUAAAGGCUUUGUUGUUUUUUCUCUUUGUUUUUUUCUGUCUCUAGGGAAACAUCCAGAUAACUGAGUGCCACUUCCUGGAGAAUGACUGGCUGACUGCUCUGGCCUGCCAUCAGCCCUGCUCUUGUACAUGACACCACUGCUGUGAUGCUGUUAGGGCUGUGACGGGACAUGGGCCGAAGAUACUUUUCCUGAAACAUAGGGUUGUUCGUCAGGUACUCAGCUCAUGUCCCAUAAGAUGCUUCUACCUCCACCCUGGGAAUUGUAUGGCUUUCUCUCUAUAUCUUCCCUCAUUCCCCAAAAGACAAUAUAUCAUUUGCAUGGCACUGCAUAAAAAUGAAAUAUAUUGAAUGGGCCCUACACUCACCAGAUUUUAAAAAUUACGUUAAAGAAAGAUACCUGUUGAUAAGUAUCACUAUAACACAUGUUGUAUCUGUUUCCAAGCACUAUUGCAACAAAGAACCACAAACUGGGUGCCUUAAAUAUCAGAAAUACAUUUUCUCACAGAUCUGGGACCAGAACCUGAGAUCAAGGUUUUGGCAGGACUGGCCUUUUGGGGGGGCUGUCUGAGUCUCUUCUGUGUCUCCCUCCUAGAUUUUGAUGGUUUGCUGGCCAACUUUGAUAUUCUUUGGCUUAUAAAGAAUUAUCCAGGUCUCUGCCUUCAUCCUCACAUGAUGUUUUCCCUGUGUGUGUAUAUCUGUAUCCAAAUAUUCUCUUUAUAUAAAGACACUGGUCCUAUUGGAUUAGGGGUCCACCCUGCUCUCACAUGACCUCAUCUUAUCUAAUACUAAUGCCUGCAGUGACCCCAUUUCCAAAUAAAGGUCAGGCACUGGGGGUUGGGUUAUGGAAAUAUGAAUUUUGGGUGGUCACUAUACAACCCAUAAUCAUAUCCCACAUAAUUAUUUAAUGUCUGUACAUUCAAGUAGGUGUAAAAAAAUCUUUAUAAUUAUCUGAGCAAAGAAUUUAAUACUAUUUUACGAAUACACUUUUGCAGAAUUUAAUGUGCUUUUAUCUUAGAAAUGCAACUGCCAAAUUUAUUGAAUAAAGACUGUAGAUUUUUGUUUUUCUUUUUCUUUGGAAACUUAUCAAGAUUGGCUCAUGUUUUUAGCAAACCAUGUCAUUAACACUGUGCAUAGUAUCUAGGUAACCAAGAUAACUUACUUAAGACAACUUCAUUUCUAGAAAAAUAUCAGACUCCUACUGUUACAGAGCUGAGACCAACUAAGAAACUGAGACAGCAUGAAGACCACCUUCAAACAUUGAUUCUUGCCAUCAAGUCAGUAAGAUUUCAGACAUGUUGCUCAGAGUAAUAGUAAUGAGUUUAUUGAAGGGAUAGGAAAAGGGUAACGGGACACUCUUAAGGGAGAGAGUGAGUUGUCUCAGAAGGACAGGUAUAGUGUGCCUUUCCUGCACUCCGGUUUUAUUGGGGAUCCCAGAGAAGUUUCCAGAGAGUCCCGCCUAGGUCCACCUCUUGACUUUUGACUUACAACAAGAUGACAGACUUUCAAGUCCCCACUGUUAUGGCAACUUUAGGUCAUCUUGGCCCAUGCUGAAUGGUUUCAAUUAGAUUCAUAACCAUAUAUUCCUACAGAUUUUAUGGUUAGGAGGAACUAACCUUAUCUCUCAGAAUUUCAGGAUCUGAUCACAAAAGUUUCCUCCUUCAGGUUAACUUGGGUUCCUCUUGUCAACAUUAUCUUGGGCCUGCAUUUUUCCUGCAAAUAGGUAGUCUGCUGGGGAAUGCCACAUAUCACUUAGGCCAGGCAGGGCUUUAGGUAAAUUGCUCCUUGGAAAAGAAAGCAUGUGAGGGUCAAUACAGUGGACCCAGUUUAAUAGAAUUAUAUUCUUAACUUCAUGUUCCCACCAUCCUCAUCUAUCUGUCCCCUAACACUACUAAUGUAAAAAUUAUCUGAAAAAUGAUUUUUAUGUUUUUACAUAAUUGUUCUUUCUGAGGUUGAAAGAAUGGAUGACAAAGUGUUCUCAGCCAGGUUUAUAGACAUUUUCUUCUGCAAAUAUAGAAUAUACAUGUGAUAUGUGUAUAUGCAAUAUAUACAUACAGUGUACGUAUAAAGUCAUGUGUUUGUGGCAUCUGAGAGUUACAGAGCAUAAUCAUAGUGUGAAAUGCUUUCAAGAUUCUACUAUUAUCUUUUAAAAUUCCUAUGAAAAUUGAUAAUAUUUUGUGAGCCUCACUCUGUCAUUCUUAUUCAGUUACUAAGGGUUCUGUUGGCUCUGCCUAAUUUUGUUCCCAGGGUUUCAGAAGCCCAGCAUUUUAAUCAAGUCUUCAGUUAAGUGUUUUUAAUGUGGGAAAUGUUCCUCGGAGUUUAAAUACAAUCACAGUUUAAAAGAGUAAGGUUUAAAUUCCUUUUAUUUAACAUAUGUACCCAUAUGCACGUCAAUUUGAAAAUUUCUGAUAGUAGCUGUCAGAAAGAGUUUUGAAUAUUUAAUGAAGGGUUCUAAAUUUCAUCUGAGUCCACAGAUGAACAAUUUAGGAGGACAGAGGCUGUCUGUUCUUUGUUGACUUUCAUGGAUCAAUUGGUGUGCAAAUAUUGAAUUCUUUCCUGCUAUAAUAACAGGCAAAUAGCAGCAAACCUACUUUCCAGAAUAGCAAAAUUAUGAAAUACUCAAAGGAUUGUGUGCAUAUGUGUAGAAAUCUUUUUUUUCCAAUUCAGAGAAAUACAGGACAAGCAGGAGCUCAGUAAAGAUUGAAUCAAGAAUCUAAAUUUUUCAGAGCUAGAAGGAUCCUUAGUGAUUAUCUAGCCUAUUCCACCUGCUUCUCAUCUACCUCUUUUUCAAAUAAUGAUACUUUGGCCUCCAGAGAUAAACUGAAAUGCUGGUCAUUAUACAUAUUCUUGGUUUAUUUUGAGGGAUCCCCCCCCCAAAAAAACAGUGUUCUUGCUGACAUGGUGGCACACACCUGUAAUCUCAACAACUCUGGAAGCUGAGGCAGGAGGAUCACAAGUUUGAGGCUAGUCUGGAUAAUUUAAUGAGACCCUCAGCAACUUAGCAAGAUCUUGACUCAAAAACAAACAAACAAACAAACAAACAAACAAAAAAAACUAGGGAUGUAGCACUGUAGUAAAAGCACCCCUGGGUUUAAUCACCUACCAUAAAACAAAAACAAAACAGUGUUCUUACAUUUUCAUUCAGAUUUUUUAUUAAGAUAUCUUUGAGGACUUUAUCUGGGAACAACCAGAUGGCUGCCAGGAAAGUGUCACUUUCAAGAACUCUUUACCUCCCCACCCCCAGCAGAACUUCAUGUAUUUGUUUCAAAUGUCAUAGUUUAUUAAAUAGCACUAGUUCAUUCCUAGUAAUUGCAUUGUAAAUUAUCCUCUUAGGAGGACCCAUGAGCUAAAAUUCUCAAAAAAUUCAGAUCUAGGAUAUUUGUGAUUUUUUCAGAGUUAAUUGUUUAAUUUUGCCUUAUGAAAAAUAUGAUUAUGCUUCCUUCUUUACUUUGGCUGCUAGGAAACCCAGAUCGAAUUUGUGAAAUUAAUCAUCUUAAUAGGACAGAGGAUAUUGUGACAUAUUUUACAAACUAACUUUGGUCUUAUUUUAUUUUUCCAAUCUUUUUUCCUUUCUUUAAAAUCUCUAUUUCUGCCUUUCCUUGUUUUUAAUCUUAUUAAACUGUAGGUUUUCCUUUUUAAAUUUACAUAAAAUGUUUUUCCUUGGAUUUUCUAUUCAUAGAACACCAAAGUCUGCUAGGAACUGAACAGACCAACCUUAGAAAUUGUGGUGAGACAUGAUGGAAAGAUAAAGGAUCCAAUUAAAUGUUUUUAUUUUAGAAUUAAAACAAAUUUAGAGGCCCUACUAUGUAGAAAGGAUAUGAAAAGAAUGCAGUAUUUACGUGAGUUCUAAAGUUCCUCAAAUGAGAAAAUAUAAUGCUUAAUGUGUAUUAAAAAUAUAGUAUACCUUAAAAUAAAAUAUUAAGAGUGAAAUUAAUCUAAAAGCUUGUGUAGUAAUAUAAUAACCCUGGAUGGGGAUUAUAGGCUCAGAUAGGAGUUGAACAUUAAGGUCAUGGUAUGACUCAGACCCAGAGAUAUCUAAUAUUUGGUUACUUCCUCCUGUGAGUUUUAUAGUCCUUAUUAAAAAAUAUAACAUUCCAUCUGUAUUUUGAACAAGAAUUCAGUCUGAGUUAUAGCCAAUCAUUCUGGUUGUUAAGGAUAAUUUUUAGAAAACUGAGGAGGACCCCCCAAAAUUUAUUUGGAAAGGUAGCUUCAAAAUUGUUUGGGAUGAUUCAGUUUUUUUUAAUGAGUUAAUAAACUUUAAUCAGAAUUAAGUUUACAAAUGUUUAUGAGAAUCAAAUCCAUGAUAUUUAUAGUUUGUGUAAAAAGUGGCACAUAUUUGUGUUUUGGGUGUAUAUAAUAUUUAAGAGGAUUUGGCAUAUUAAAAUAUUAUCCUUGUGAUCCUAAUGUAAAAGGUAUAAUUAAAUGAAUGGUUUUUACUUGUAAGCCAAGGUUUGAGCCAUUUGGAGCCCUGGCUUAUCUCCUCCUUAAUGCCAGAUACUACAAACAAGUGACUGAUUAGUGCAGCUCAAUUACUUGCAAGUAAGCAGGUAAAUGCUUCAUUUCUGGGUGCUCUUUCCUUCUGGGCACCAGCUAUUUCAUUGCCCUAUGUCCUUCUACAGCUAUGUGAGUCUCUUCAGUUCCAGAUGCCCAUGGCCAGUCCUCUCUCCUUUUUAAAACCAUGCUUUAAGGGCAACAUCACCUUGGGGGACAUCCCUCUCCUCCUCCACAGACAAGAUGUUCUCCCAGCUUUGCACUCUCUCCCCUGAAAUGUGUAUGCCUGACCAUCACUGGUGGGUUUACACAUCCAUAAAGGCAUAGACUGUCACUUAGGCCCAGCUAUGCCUAACAGUUGCUUAAUACUUGUUAAAUUGAGCUAACCUAAUGAGUUCAGUUGACAUAAAUUAAAUGUACCAACAAGCCAGAUAAUAGGCUAUUCAUGACUUCACUAACUCUCAUUUGGAGUCUCAUAAAAAUCAUAACAAAUCCUGAGGGAUUUAAAAUAUAAUCUAGUUUUGUUUCUUUCAUUAUUUUUGUGUUCUAUGAAGAAUGCAAAUUUGAAGAAAGUCUUCUAUAGCCUAAAUAGCACACAAAAGCCACUAACUGAUUCUUGGGAAAACCCUUUCUUUUCAGUUGAAUAAACUGAAGAUUUUUUAAUUAUAAAAAUAUGUGUUUGAUUUCUCUUGAAAAAGCAAGAUCAGCCACAAAGGUUUCCAUUCUUUAAAAAAUGCCAAUUUUCUGGGGACCCUCUCCAAUUUAUCACAAUCCUUGCCACCCCUUACAGUUUCUUUGAUUCAGAAAGUAAGUAUCAAGAUGGCAUUGAAAUCCAGAAAUUAUGGCUCUGUAGAUGGUAGCACACCUAGCCUUCUUGCUUCAUUUAUGUUAACUUGCCUAUUACUGAAAGCAAUUAAACUUGAGGACCUCACUUUUGCAAUAAAUGUAUUUUAAUGAAGUAUCAUGGGAAAAACACUGUUUACAAAUCAAACUCCAUAUGUAUAUAACUUACUGUUGAGAAUAAUCUAUUGUAAAUGUAAACUAAUUCUUUUGGGCAUCAAAUAAGCACACUUGUGCAUAUUUCUAUUGCCUUGACAAGAGCUACUUGUUAACUUGUUAUAUGAUUCUGAGAGCUCAAUUUGUUGUAUUAAAAUUCUGUAAAAAUUUAUGCUUUUUAUUAUUAUGACAUUUACUUUUACUUUUGAGCUCAGUGUGAUCAUUCUCCCUUUGCAAGUAAUGUGUUUAAGAUUAUAGCCCUUAUAAAAAUUUUAUCAUAAAAAUAAAAUCAUUGCCAAAACAAGUUUAAGACUGAGCAACAUCAAAAAUUUUGGCUAGAGACAUGGUGAGUUCAUUAGAGCUAUAGAUCCCAACAUUCUUUCUUCCUAGAGAGUUUUCCUUUUUGUUUAUUUUUAAAAGUUUUAUUGGCAUAUAAUUUUCAUAUAACUUUUACC
rnacentral:lncRNA from 1 species